rnacentral:rRNA from 1 species
AAUAUUGCACAAUGGAGGAAACUCUGAUGCAGCGAUGCCGCGUGAACGAUGAAGGCCUUCGGGUCGUAAAGUUCUGUCCUUGGGGACGAUAAUGACGGUACCCAAGGAGGAAGCCCCGGCUAACUACGCGCCAGCAGCCGCGGUAAUACGUAGGGGGCGAGCGUUGUCCGGAUUUACUGGGCGUAAAGGGUGAGUAGGCGGUUAUGUAAGUCAGAUGUAAAAGGCGUGGGCUUAACCCAUGUUAGCAUUUGAAACUGCAUGACUUGAGUGCAGGAGAGGUAAGUGGAAUUCCUAGUGUAGCGGUGAAAUGCGUAGAUAUUAGGAGGAACACCAGUGGCGAAGGCGACUUACUGGACUGUAACUGACGCUGAGUCACGAAAGCGUGGGUAGCAAACA